CAGCCACGGCCGUGUGCCGGCAAGAAUCCGUGCCACAUGUGGCCCUUCUCUUCCGCGGCCGCCAACACGCGGUCGUCAUCGUCCAUAGCGGCAUCGCUGCCGUUGGAGCGGCGCCUGAUUCGUGUCAGCAAGGCAGACAUUAGCCGCGUCACCGCCGACGACAUCAAGCGCGUGAGCGCCCGCCUCACGAACGACGAGCUCACCACCUCACUGCGGCUUCUGGUCGAGACGAACCGACUUGGCGAUGUGCUCGCCUCGGCAUCGUCCUCGGCCUGGGCGGAGGCGGUCGCGGAGGUGACGGAGGCGCGAAUGGGGCUGAGUAGCAACGUGAUGCGGGACCGCAUGAGUCUCCUGUACAACAUCUUGCCGUACGUAUCGGACAACUUCCUCAGCGCCAUGGGUAGCUCCUACUCACGCGACCCGUAGCGCCGCUCUUCUUCUCCGUGCUACACAUCUGAACCCACCCAUACACAUGAAGAAAGGAUCCCAUCAUUCGUGGAAUGUCGGCAGCACCGCGCUUGGGUAUCGCCGCAUGCUGUACGACGUGCCACCUAGGGCAGAAGGGGGUGGGCGAGCGGAGGCAUCGUCUCGCCCAUCGUGGCCUGUCCAGCUCACCUCCCGUCCUUCCUCUGCGUUGGCGCCUUCACUGGCUGCCCUUCUUUUCCUCGCCUUCUCUCUCUCACACCAG
rnacentral:misc_RNA from 1 species